AUAUAAAGUAUACUAUUAUAACAUAAAUGAAUUCUAUCAUUUUAUUAAUUAUAACAUCAUUAAUGUGUUUCAACAAUAUGAUUUACACAAUAAGAAGAUUAGUGUACAUGUAUUCUAAGGCAAUCAUAUCUGUUACCUUCAAAUUUCUGAAAACGUUGCAAAAUAUUUUUUUUAAAUUGCGAAAAAAUUAUCUAAUCAUGUAAAUAACUCAUAAACAUAUUAAUUCAUCAAUAUAUAAUUUUUUAAAAUUAUAUAAAUAGUAAAAACACAUUUUUAUGCCUAUAGACAAAAUAAGCCAAUCAUAAUGUUUCACUCGGAUUGCUGAUGUGGCGAGAUCUCAGCCAUUCAUCGGAUCUAAUACUUGAUCAAUUUACUCAAUCCAAUCAUAAUGUUUCACUCGGAUACACGACGUGGCAACAUCUCAGCCUUUCAAAGGCUUUGGCGGCUGCAUGUUUAAGGUAAUCUCAUCCGUUCAUCGCUCAACAAAGGCUUUGGCGAGAUUUUUUUUUUUUUUUUUUUUUUUUGGGCUAAAGGCGAGAUUCUCUUCAACCUUUCAUCCUUUCCUGACAUCGACUGAGACAAAAUUCACAAGAAAAUUAAUUCAGAUUAGGUCUUCUCUUUGGGCUAAAGGCGAGAUUCUUCACUGCAAGAAUCGCAUCCUCUACCGAGCUGAUGAAACCAUUAGCUUCUUCUUCUCUCUGUUUCUGCAAAUCAGACUCUUCCUCCAAGCUUCGCCUUUUGUUGUGUUUCUAUCCAAUUUUGACAGAUUUUGAUUGGGAAGAAUCAUUCCGAGCCAUGUCUCCGGCUAAAGAGAAAACAAAGUUGGUGUUACGAGUCUUGGUAAUUUCAUGAAGCUUGAUGGAUGUUUUUGUUGUUACUCUUGUGCAAAGUUUCUCAAAUUCUUGGGUGUUGGAAAAAGCAGCUUGUGGCAGCAAAAGAAGCAAGGCGGCGAGAUGUAUUUGUGUUAUAGGAUUGAUUUGAGUUAUAGACUACUCAAUGGGACUGUUAGGUUUCCGUGAAUUACCACGGAAAAUGAUGUGAGACAGAGGAGGAAGAUGAAGAUAGGAGACAGGGGCAGAUGAAGAGGCAUUCUAUGUAGAGGAGAUGUAUUGGUCUUGUAUUUUUAAUUGAUGUAGUAUUUUUAUAAAAGUUUUUGUAUAUUAUUUCAUGUAAUAAUGAUAAUAAAAU